rnacentral:rRNA from 1 species
UACGUAGGGGGCAAGCGUUGUCCGGAAUUAUUGGGCGUAAAGAGCUUGUAGGCGGUUUGUCGGCGUUCUGCUGUGGAAAUUUCGGGGACUCAACCCCGAACUUGCAGUGGGUACGGGCAGACGUAGGAGUGGCGGUAGGGGAGACUGGAAUUCCUGGUGUAGCAGUGAAAUGCGUAGAUAUCGUAAGGAAGACCAGUGGCGAAGGCGAAUCUCUGGACAGUUACUGACACUGAGGCACGAAGGCCAGGGGAGCAAACGGG